UAGGGAAUCUUCGGCAAUGGGGGGAACCCUGACCGAGCAACGCCGCGUGAGUGAAGAAGGUUUUCGGAUCGUAAAGCUCUGUUGUUAAGGAAGAACGAGUGUGAGAAUGGAAAGUUCAUGCUGUGACGGUACUUAACCAGAAAGGGACGGCUAACUACGUGCCAGCAGCCGCGGUAAUACGUAGGUCCCGAGCGUUGUCCGGAUUUAUUGGGCGUAAAGCGAGCGCAGGCGGUUAGAAAAGUCUGAAGUGAAAGGCAGUGGCUCAACCAUUGUAGGCUUUGGAAACUGUUUAACUUGAGUGCAGAAGGGGAGAGUGGAAUUCCAUGUGUAGCGGUGAAAUGCGUAGAUAUAUGGAGGAACACCGGUGGCGAAAGCGGCCCUCUGGUCUGUAACUGACGCUGAGGCUCGAAAGCGUGGGGAGCGAACAGG
rnacentral:rRNA from 1 species